rnacentral:rRNA from 1 species
GACGAACGCUUGCGGCGUGCCUAAGAAAUGCAAGUCGAACGGACAUUCUCGCAAGAGAGUGUUAGUGGCGAACGGUCGCGUAACNCGUAAGCAACCUGCCUCAAAGUGGGGGACAACAGAUCGAAAGGUCUGCUAAUACCGCAUGUGGUCCAUUUUUGGCAUCUUAAAUGGACUAAAGCCUUGUGCGCUUUGAGAUGGGCUUGCGGCCUAUCAGGUAGUUGGUGGGGAACGGCCUACCAAGCCGACGACGGGUAGCUGGUCUGAGAGGACGAUCAGCCGGAUUGGGACUGAGAUACGGCCCAGACUCCUACGGGGGCAGCAAUUAGGAAUCUUGCACAAUGGGGGAAACCCUGAUGCAGCGACGCCGCGUGCGGGACGAAGGCAUUCGUGUCGUAAACCG